UGAACAACAGAGAAAAAGAAAGGCCCACAACAUCACUUUCACGCUUUUUUCUGACUACAUCUCCAUGUAAUUUCAAUGUAACAAAUCGGCCGGAUAAUUGGGAUGCUUCGAAAGCAAGGAAGAAUUUCAUUUCUCAGAUAGAUAAUGAGAUUCAAAGAAGACCAGAUUUCAACUGGAGAGAAAUUGAUUUGGUCUUCUUCCCAGUUUGUGCAAAUUUCCAUUACUAUCUUGUAGUAUAUUGGAUGAAGAAAAACACCAUUGAGAUAAUAGAUAACAGCAAGCCACAUAAAGAUAUGGAUCCGUUCGAGAAGUAUGA